AGAGGGAACCUCAAUUGAAAAAAGAAAAAGUUUCCAUACGAUCAGCCUGCAGGCAAGCCUGUGGAGAAUUCUCUUGACUGACGAUUGAUGUGGAAGACCUGAUCCCCCUGUGGGUUGUGCCACUCCUGGGUUAAUGGUCCUGAGGCGCAGAAGAAAGUAAACUGAACAAGCCAGAAGUAUUAAGCAAGUAGACAGCAUUCUUCCCUGCUCCCUGUCUCAGUUCCUGCCCCGCAGGUCCUGCCUAGGCUUCCCUCAGUGAUGGACUAUCGUCUGGAAGUAUGUAAAAGAAUGUGAGGACGGGAAUGCAAUGGCAGAGUCCCACAGAUAAAUAUGUCAAAACACAUCAGAAUUUCUGAGCCUAUGGUGGAACCUGCAUUGCAAGCAAGCUGCUAGGUUCAGCGUGUAUCCAAAUUUAACCUGCUAUCAGAAGAAAUCUGCCUCCUCUUGAACAUCAAAUAGCAUUUAUACAAAUCAUCUAUGACCCUUGUAGCCUGCUUCCUUCACUGCUAUAUUUUAUUAAAUAAUAGGUUUUACUUCACUUGUGUAAUGCUCAUUUACAUGGUCCUGUGUUAUGGAAGGACAUCAUUAUAUAAGUAUAUUAUGAACUUACUAAGUAUUUUGAGUUUAUUCCCCUUCCACCCCUCCAUUUGUCUCCUUCAUUGCCCUACAAAGUUUGCUUCUGUUUUUACAUAAUAUAUUUAUGCAUCAUUUUAUAUACCUAUAUAAAAACCUAGGAGCCAAAAAUGGAAAAAAACAUGUGGUUGUUUGAAUGAGAGAAC